rnacentral:rRNA from 1 species
GGUUAAGCGACUAAGCGUACACGGUGGAUGCCCUGGCAGUCAGAGGCGAUGAAGGACGUGCUAAUCUGCGAUAAGCGUCGGUAAGGUGAUAUGAACCGUUAUAACCGGCGAUUUCCGAAUGGGGAAACCCAGUGUGUUUCGACACACUAUCAUUAACUGAAUCCAUAGGUUAAUGAGGCGAACCGGGGGAACUGAAACAUCUAAGUACCCCGAGGAAAAGAAAUCAACCGAGAUUCCCCCAGUAGCGGCGAGCGAACGGGGAGCAGCCCAGAGCCUGAAUCAGUGUGUGUGUUAGUGGAAGCGUCUGGAAAGGCGCGCGAUACAGGGUGACAGCCCCGUACACAAAAAUGCACAUACUGUGAGCUCGAUGAGUAGGGCGGGACACGUGGUAUCCUGUCUGAAUAUGGGGGGACCAUCCUCCAAGGCUAAAUACUCCUGACUGACCGAUAGUGAACCAGUACCGUGAGGGAAAGGCGAAAAGAACCCCGGCGAGGGGAGUGAAAAAGAACCUGAAACCGUGUACGUACAAGCAGUGGGAGCCUCUUAAUGGGGUGACUGCGUACCUUUUGUAUAAUGGGUCAGCGACUUAUAUUCUGUAGCAAGGUUAACCGAAUAGGGGAGCCGAAGGGAAACCGAGUCUUAACUGGGCGUUAAGUUGCAGGGUAUAGACCCGAAACCCGGUGAUCUAGCCAUGGGCAGGUUGAAGGUUGGGUAACACUAACUGGAGGACCGAACCGACUAAUGUUGAAAAAUUAGCGGAUGACUUGUGGCUGGGGGUGAAAGGCCAAUCAAACCGGGAGAUAGCUGGUUCUCCCCGAAAGCUAUUUAGGUAGCGCCUCGUGAAUUCAUCUCCGGGGGUAGAGCACUGUUUCGGCAAGGGGGUCAUCCCGACUUACCAACCCGAUGCAAACUGCGAAUACCGGAGAAUGUUAUCACGGGAGACACACGGCGGGUGCUAACGUCCGUCGUGAAGAGGGAAACAACCCAGACCGCCAGCUAAGGUCCCAAAGUCAUGGUUAAGUGGGAAACGAUGUGGGAAGGCCCAGACAGCCAGGAUGUUGGCUUAGAAGCAGCCAUCAUUUAAAGAAAGCGUAAUAGCUCACUGGUCGAGUCGGCCUGCGCGGAAGAUGUAACGGGGCUAAACCAUGCACCGAAGCUGCGGCAGCGACACUAUGUGUUGUUGGGUAGGGGAGCGUUCUGUAAGCCUGUGAAGGUGUACUGUGAGGUAUGCUGGAGGUAUCAGAAGUGCGAAUGCUGACAUAAGUAACGAUAAAGCGGGUGAAAAGCCCGCUCGCCGGAAGACCAAGGGUUCCUGUCCAACGUUAAUCGGGGCAGGGUGAGUCGACCCCUAAGGCGAGGCCGAAAGGCGUAGUCGAUGGGAAACAGGUUAAUAUUCCUGUACUUGGUGUUACUGCGAAGGGGGGACGGAGAAGGCUAUGUUGGCCGGGCGACGGUUGUCCCGGUUUAAGCGUGUAGGCUGGUUUUCCAGGCAAAUCCGGAAAAUCAAGGCUGAGGCGUGAUGACGAGGCACUACGGUGCUGAAGCAACAAAUGCCCUGCUUCCAGGAAAAGCCUCUAAGCAUCAGGUAACAUCAAAUCGUACCCCAAACCGACACAGGUGGUCAGGUAGAGAAUACCAAGGCGCUUGAGAGAACUCGGGUGAAGGAACUAGGCAAAAUGGUGCCGUAACUUCGGGAGAAGGCACGCUGAUAUGUAGGUGAAGUCCCUUGCGGAUGGAGCUGAAAUCAGUCGAAGAUACCAGCUGGCUGCAACUGUUUAUUAAAAACACAGCACUGUGCAAACACGAAAGUGGACGUAUACGGUGUGACGCCUGCCCGGUGCCGGAAGGUUAAUUGAUGGGGUUAGCGGUAACGCGAAGCUCUUGAUCGAAGCCCCGGUAAACGGCGGCCGUAACUAUAACGGUCCUAAGGUAGCGAAAUUCCUUGUCGGGUAAGUUCCGACCUGCACGAAUGGCGUAAUGAUGGCCAGGCUGUCUCCACCCGAGACUCAGUGAAAUUGAACUCGCUGUGAAGAUGCAGUGUACCCGCGGCAAGACGGAAAGACCCCGUGAACCUUUACUAUAGCUUGACACUGAACAUUGAGCCUUGAUGUGUAGGAUAGGUGGGAGGCUUUGAAGUGUGGACGCCAGUCUGCAUGGAGCCGGCCUUGAAAUACCACCCUUUAAUGUUUGAUGUUCUAACGUUGGCCCCUUACCGGGGUUGCGGACAGUGUCUGGUGGGUAGUUUGACUGGGGCGGUCUCCUCCUAAAGAGUAACGGAGGAGCACGAAGGUUGGCUAAUCCUGGUCGGACAUCAGGAGGUUAGUGCAAUGGCAUAAGCCAGCUUGACUGCGAGCGUGACGGCGCGAGCAGGUGCGAAAGCAGGUCAUAGUGAUCCGGUGGUUCUGAAUGGAAGGGCCAUCGCUCAACGGAUAAAAGGUACUCCGGGGAUAACAGGCUGAUACCGCCCAAGAGUUCAUAUCGACGGCGGUGUUUGGCACCUCGAUGUCGGCUCAUCACAUCCUGGGGCUGAAGUAGGUCCCAAGGGUAUGGCUGUUCGCCAUUUAAAGUGGUACGCGAGCUGGGUUUAGAACGUCGUGAGACAGUUCGGUCCCUAUCUGCCGUGGGCGCUGGAGAACUGAGGGGGGCUGCUCCUAGUACGAGAGGACCGGAGUGGACGCAUCACUGGUGUUCGGGUUGUCAUGCCAAUGGCACUGCCCGGUAGCUAAAUGCGGAAGAGAUAAGUGCUGAAAGCAUCUAAGCACGAAACUUGCCCCGAGAUGAGUUCUCCCUGACUCCUUGAGAGUCCUGAAGGAACGUUGAAGACGACGACGUUGAUAGGCCGGGUGUGUAAGCGCAGCGAUGCGUUGAGCUAACCGGUACUAAUGAACCGUGAGGCUUAACCUU